AACGAACGCUGGCGGCAUGCCUAACACAUGCAAGUCGAACGAGACCUUCGGGUCUAGUGGCGCACGGGUGCGUAACGCGUGGGAACCUGCCCUUAGGUUCGGAAUAACUUCCCGAAAGGGGUGCUAAUACCGGAUAAUGGCUUCGGCCCAAAGAUUUAUCGCUUCUGGAGGGGCCCGCGUUAGAUUAGCUAGUUGGUAGGGUAAAAGUCUACCAAGGUGACGAUCCAUAGCUGGUCAGGGAGCAUGGUCAGCACCCCUGGGGCUGACACACGGCCCAGACGCCUGCGGGUGGACGCAGUGCGGACUAUUGGACGAUGCGCGAGAGCCUGAUGCAGCCAUGCCGCGUGAGUGAUGAAGGAGUUAGGAUUGUAAAGCUCUUUUAACCGGGAUGAUAAUGACGGUACCGGGAGAGUAAGCUCCGGCUAACUCCGUG
rnacentral:rRNA from 1 species